rnacentral:tRNA from 1 species
GCGGGAGUAGCUUAGUGGUAAAGCGUUUCCUUGCCAAGGAAAAGACCGCGGGUUCAAAUCCCGUCUCCCGCU